GCUUAACACAUGCAAGUCGAGGGGAAACGAUAGAGAAAGCUUGCUUUUUCUAGGCGUCGACCGGCGCACGGGUGAGUAACGCGUAUCCAACCUGCCCAUCACUUGGGGAUAACCUUGCGAAAGUAAGACUAAUACCCAAUGACGUCCAUAGAAGACAUCUGAAAUGGAUUAAAGAUUUAUCGGUGAUGGAUGGGGAUGCGUCUGAUUAGCUUGUUGGCGGGGUAACGGCCCACCAAGGCGACGAUCAGUAGGGGUUCUGAGAGGAAGGUCCCCCACAUUGGAACUGAGACACGGUCCAAACUCCUACGGGAGGCAGCAGUGAGGAAUAUUGGUCAAUGGGCGAGAGCCUGAACCAGCCAAGUAGCGUGCAGGAUGACGGCCCUAUGGGUUGUAAACUGCUUUUAUAAGGGAAUAAAGUGGGAGUCGUGACUCCUUUUGCAUGUACCUUAUGAAUAAGGACCGGCUAAUUCCGUGCCAGCAGCCGCGGUAAUACGGAAGGUCCGGGCGUUAUCCGGAUUUAUUGGGUUUAAAGGGAGCGUAGGCCGGAGAUUAAGCUUGUUGUGAAAUGUAGACGCUCAAUGUCUGCACUGCAGCGCGAACUGGUUUCCUUGAGUACGCACAAAGUGGGCGGAAUUCGUGGUGUAGCGGUGAAAUGCUUAGAUAUCAUGAAGAACUCCGAUUGCGAAGGCAGCUCACUGGAGCGCAACUGACGCUGAAGCUCGAAAGUGCGGGUAUCGAACAGGAUUAGAUACCCUGGUAGUCCGCACGGUAAACGAUGGAUGCCCGCUGUUGGUCUGAAUAGGUCAGCGGCCAAGCGAAAGCAUUAAGCAUCCCACCUGGGGAGUACGCCGGC
rnacentral:rRNA from 1 species